UUCCCCUGUUCUUGGUUUCGGAAGCCACAGCUCCUCUUUGGUGUUCUGAUGGCCGCGUCUAUCUCCCUUCCACCUUCCCAAUUUCUUCUCUUUCCACGCCGUUCCCCUCCUCCUCCACCUAUUCCUCAUCCUCAACUCGUGAGUCCACCUCGCAAGUCCACCCUUUGCUGCUCUUCUUCUUCGACUCCUUCCGCAGAUGCUUCUUAUCCAGUUGUAACCGAAGAAGCAGCAGAGGAAGAAGACGAUAGCUCCACCCUUCCUCUUCCUAGAGAAGGAUUCUCCCCUUAGGAAGCCGAAUCACUGAUUGAAGGCCCAGAGGGUCCCCAGUUCAGGGCCUGCAAGACCUGUGGAAGAGAGGAAAUUGAGAAAGGUUGCAAUGGCAAGGGACGGAUUCAGGGCGGGAUAGCCACUGUCCCGGGCUUUGGCUGGUGGCCGAUAAAAGCCUUUAGGCCAUGCCCUGGAUUUGUGGCAUCUGGUGGCCGAUAUAGGAGGCAAGGGCAAAGCAUGGACGAGGUUGCAUUUGGCAGGGGGGAAAGGGAGAUGUCCACCAAGAACAUUAAUAAACCUAACUAAAGCAAGAAAAAGCAAGGACCAAGUAGCUUGAAGAGAUGAAAAUACAGGCUCUGUGCUCGAUGACGACGAGGCAACCCAGCAAGAUCAUAUCUGAAUGAUACCUUGCUCGCAUUACUCUUUACCAUAUUUGUUUGUGGUACUAAAUUUUACACGUAUCACCAUUGGAAAAAUGCUUUGUAUUAUUGUAGUUGUUGAAGAUUUCCGAUUUCAGAUUGGAGCAAGGUUUGUGCUCUUACGGUUGAUCUCGUCGUAAUGCUGCUUAUCGGGAAGUGUUACACUCCAUUGGCUUUACAUGGUUAUCUAUGCGAUGUCUGUACUGUAGAAGCCACAAUUCAACCAAGAUUUGUAUUGAUCUUUCAUCUCAGAACUGCAUGAGACAGGAAACCAUUCAAACUAUGGUUUUACUCCCAUCACAUUUUCUGAAAUAACAAGUACAUGUUUGAUGUUUUACGAA